GAGUUUGAUCAUGGCUCAGGACGAACGCUGGCGGCGUGCCUAAUACAUGCAAGUAGAACGCUGAAGAGAGGAGCUUGCUCUUCUUGGAUGAGUUGCGAACGGGUGAGUAACGCGUAGGUAACCUGCCUGGUAGCGGGGGAUAACUAUUGGAAACGAUAGCUAAUACCGCAUAAAAUUGAUUAUUGCAUGAUAAUUAAUUGAAAGAUGCAAUUGCAUCACUACCAGAUGGACCUGCGUUGUAUUAGCUAGUUGGUGAGGUAACGGCUCACCAAGGCGACGAUACAUAGCCGACCUGAGAGGGUGAUCGGCCACACUGGGACUGAGACACGGCCCAGACUCCUACGGGAGGCAGCAGUAGGGAAUCUUCGGCAAUGGGGGGAACCCUGACCGAGCAACGCCGCGUGAGUGAAGAAGGUUUUCGGAUCGUAAAGCUCUGCUGUAAGAGAAGAACGGGUGUGAGAGUGGAAAGUUCACACUGUGACGGUAUCUUACCAGAAAGGGACGGCUAACUACGUGCCAGCAGCCGCGGUAAUACGUAGGUCCCGAGCGUUGUCCGGAUUUAUUGGGCGUAAAGCGAGCGCAGGGCGGUUAGAUAAGUCUGAAGUUAAAGGCUGUGGCUUAACCAUAGUAUGCUUUGGAAACUGUUUAACUUGAGUGCAGAAGGGGAGAGUGGAAUUCCAUGUGUAGCGGUGAAAUGCGUAGAUAUAUGGAGGAACACCGGUGGCGAAAGCGGCUCUCUGGUCUGUAACUGACGCUGAGGCUCGAAAGCGUGGGGAGCAAACAGGAUUAGAUACCCUGGUAGUCCACGCCGUAAGCGAUGAGUGCUAGGUGUUAGGCCCUUUCCGGGGCUUAGUGCCGCAGCUAACGCAUUAAGCACUCCGCCUGGGGAGUACGACCGCAAGGUUGAAACUCAAAGGAAUUGACGGGGGCCCGCACAAGCGGUGGAGCAUGUGGUUUAAUUCGAAGCAACGCGAAGAACCUUACCAGGUCUUGACAUCCCUCUGACCGCUCUAGAGAUAGAGUUUUCCUUCGGGACAGAGGUGACAGGUGGUGCAUGGUUGUCGUCAGCUCGUGUCGUGAGAUGUUGGGUUAGGUCCCGCAACGAGCGCAACCCCUAUUGUUAGUUGCCAUCAUUGAGUUGGGCACUCUAGCGAGACUGCCGGUAAUAAACCGGAGGAAGGUGGGGAUGACGUCAAAUCAUCAUGCCCCUUAUGACCUGGGCUACACACGUGCUACAAUGGCUGGUACAACGAGUCGCAAGCCGGUGACGGCAAGCUAAUCUCUGAAAGCCAGUCUCAGUUCGGAUUGUAGGCUGCAACUCGCCUACAUGAAGUCGGAAUCGCUAGUAAUCGCGGAUCAGCACGCCGCGGUGAAUACGUUCCCGGGCCUUGUACACACCGCCCGUC
rnacentral:rRNA from 1 species